GAUUACUGGCUUGUGGUGGCCAAGCAUUUGUAGCAACGUUACUUUUUGAGCCUUGGAUGUUGGCUCUUCCUAUCAUUGUGAAGAGGAAUUCCACAACUGUUGGAUUGUUUGCUCACUAAUAGGGAACGUGAGCUGGCAUUACACUGUUGGGAUUAGACUAUCGAGGGACAGCUU
rnacentral:ncRNA from 1 species